rnacentral:tRNA from 1 species
ACCUGGCUGGCUCAAUUAGUAGAGUGUGUGACUCUUGAUUGCGGGGUUGUGAGUUCAAGCCCCACGUUGGGUG